rnacentral:snoRNA from 1 species
GCGCUUUGUGAUCCGGAGAUUGUCUCCAAAAUUCUCGCUGGGUUGGACAUGGAAUACAACCCGGUCGUCUCCGCACUCGCCGCCAGGGUUGAGCCCAUCACCGUCCAGGAGCUCUAUAGCCAGCUGCUCAGUUUUGAUG